AGACGGAUUCUCACUCUGUCGCCUAGGCUGGAGUGCAGUGGUCGAUCUCGGCUCACUGAAACCUCUGCCUCCCGGGUUCAAGUGAUUCUGGUGCCUCAGCCUCCUGAGUAGCUGGGAUUACAGAUGCAGCUGCAGCCCAGAAGCAAAGUAAAUAACAGAAGGUGGCAAGCCCCUACUUCAAGGUGGAGUGUUGGACUACCAAGGCAGGACCAGCAAAGGUUUUGUGAGCUACAGGGAAUGCUUGACAUGGGGCUCCACACUGAGGACUCUCAGAGCUGCUACGAGGGACCUGGAGACCUGAGGUCUAGGGUGAGAAGCAUCUGCCUUCAUCGACUUUAUGGACAAAGAAGGAAUGGUUUUUGAGGGUGGGGAUAUUUUUUGGUGGGUUCAGCCCGUCAUCACCUGUAUGUUACUUCUUGUCACUGAGUCACUUCCUGCUAUAAUAAUAAUAAUAAUUAUUAU